rnacentral:tRNA from 2 species
UAGAUUAAAGCUUUGCUGAAGCGCUGAGCUUUUAACUCAGAGAAGCCUUUUAGGGUUAAUUUAG